rnacentral:rRNA from 1 species
UACGGAGGGAGCUAGCGUUGUUCGGAAUUAUUGGGCGUAAAGAGCGUGUAGGCGGUCCGGUAAGUCAGCUGUGAAAGUCAAGGGCUCAACCCUUGAAAGCCGGUUGAUACUGUCGGGCUAGAGUCCGGAAGAGGCGAGUGGAAUUCCCGGUGUAGCGGUGAAAUGCGCAGAUAUCGGGAGGAACACCAAUGGCGAAGGCAGCUCGCUGGGACGGUACUGACGCUGAGACGCGAAAGCGUGGGGAGCAAACAGG